CAUCCUUGGGAUACCACCCUUGUAGUACUGGGACUCUAACCAUAGGCCAUGAAUCUGGUCUUGGGACACUGUCAGGUGGGCAGUUUGACUGGGGCGGUCGCCUCCCAAAAGGUAACGGAGGCGCUCAAAGGUUCUCUCAGUACGGUCGGAAAUCGUACGUAGAGUGUAAAGGCAAAAGAGAGCUUGAUUGCAAGACAUACAGGUCGAGCAAGGAUGAAAAUCGGACUUAGUGAUCCGGUGGUUCUGCGUGGAAGGGCCAUCGCUCAACGGAUAAAAGCUACCCUGGGAUAACAGGCUUAUCUCCCCAAGAGUCCACAUCGACGGGGAGGUUUGGCACCUCGAUGUCGGCUCAUCACAUCCUGGGGCUGUAGUAGGUCCCAAGGGUUGGGCUGUUCGCCCAUUAAAGUGGUACGCGAGCUGGGUUCAGAACGUCGUGAGACAGUUCGGUCCCUAUCCGUCGCAGGCGUAGGAAAUUUGAGAAGACCUGUCCUUAGUACGAGAGGACCGGGAUGGACGUACCUCUGGUGUACCAGUUGU
rnacentral:rRNA from 1 species